GACUAAUUGUUCCACUAAAGAAAUUACUGUACUGAAUCGAUGAACUGGGGACUUCGAUCUUCUUCUACCCAUUCUAGCACGAACACAAUUAGUGUUCGGAGAAAUGCCCAACUGAAUGGUAAUGGCAAAAUGGGCAACAGUGAGGCAGUGAAUAUGUUGCAAAUCACUUUAAACAGUAUCUCAAACAGCGAAGAGUGUUAAAGCACUUGGAUUGGAUGCUAGUCCCAUUUCUGAAACCCACUUCGAAAACUUUCACACCGUACAGCCUCUCCAAGAAAGUGACAUUAGGGUCAUGAUUCGUGAUGAGAGAGAUAUCAACAUCCCAAAUUUGAGAGGUCAUUGCGCAUAUGCUCGGAGUUGGUAUGUAAAAGUUGAUCCAAGGACGUGUAUGAGGAUGUUUGGAGAAGAUCAGUAGAUCACGUUAGUUGUUUUUGUGGAUUGACUUUUUCAGGGGAGACUAUUUGUGUUUUCUUUUUCUAUUUUGUUUCUUUUUGUGAAUAUGACAAAAUUUCCCGUGUUUUCUUUAUAUAUCCUCAAGCACACAAUUUGUCUCUGUUUUCUGCAUCUACGUAUUUUUUUCUAGCAUUCCAUAUUUGUAUUUGGGUGUUUGAUGCAGAUGAUGUAUUUGUGUCGGAAGCACCAACAACACUCGAUUAUAUUCAGGACAGCUCGUUGCCUCUCCUCAGUCAAUCUCAGGUACUACAAAUGAAACAUAGCAGCCAAAUCAUGGCGCCAUUCUAUUGAUAUCUUUGUUUAAAAAAGAAGGUUAGGCUGCUGUAGUAAAAGCCCUAAAGAAGUGUAUGUUGGUGAUAACACAUGUGGCUUCUGAUAAAGGGGAGUGUACACAGUUUAGAUCGAGUUAAUGAAAUUCUUGCAUUGUGGUAUCAAGGUUUUUUGUACUCAAUAGCUCAGUUGUUUUGGAAAUGUGGGCAUUUCGUUUUAAAAAGCAAAAAUUUAGUUGCUUUGCAUUCUAUAGCCUGGUGAAUAUAUGUUCUUGUACAACUCUU